GCCGUAGCGAAAGCGAGUCUGAAUAGGGCGAAUAGUUAUUAUCAAUAGACCCGAAGCGGUAUGAGCUAGACAUGGGCAGGUUGAAGGCAUAGGAAACUAUGCUGGAGGACCGAACGGGUUGGUGCUGCAAAACCUUCCGAUGACCUGUGUUUAGGAGUGAAAAGCUCAUCGAAUACCGUGAUAGCUGGUUCUCUCCGAAAUGCAUUUAGGUGCAGCCUGUAUUUGAAGGUCUUGAAGAGGUAGAGCUCUGGAAAGGCUAGGGGGAUCGAGAGAUCUUACCAAACCUUACUAAACUUCGAAUGCUUCAAGGAAUAAUACAGAGUGGGACUAUGGGAGCAAGUUUCAUAGUCGAAAGGAUAACAGUCCAGACUUCUGAUUAAGGUCCCUAAAGUAAUGCUAAGUGGAAAAAGAGGUGUCUUUGCUUAUACAUCCAGGAGGUUUGCCUAGAAGCAGCAAUCCUUUAAAGAAAGCGUAAUAGCUCACUGGACUAGCGAAGAUGCGCUGAAGAUGUAACGGGGCUAAGCAUUAUACCGAAAUCGAAGACCAGUGUAGAAAUACACUGUGUGGUAGGAGAGUGUUCUUACAGGAUGAAGCUACACUGUGAGGUGUGGUCGACUAGUAAGAAGUAAAAAUGCUGACAUGAGUAACGCUUAUUGAUGAAAAUUCAAUAUAUCGAAACCCUAAGGAUUCCUACGCAACGUUCAUCGUCGUAGGGUUAGUCGGGACCUAAGGCUUAUCCAGAAAUGGAGAGUCGAUGGAUAACUGGUUAAUAUUCCAGUACUUAUAUAUAGAGUGAUGGGGUGACGCAUCGAGAUUUGUAAGAGCUUAUUAAGGAUUUGAGUCGAAAGAGUGAGGUUUUUAUGACGUUAGUCGUAAAGGUAGUUGCAGGAAAAUCCACAACUAUUGAUACUAAGCUUGAUCGGGAUUUAACUCCUCGGAGUUAGAAAUUCUUAUCGUUUUGGUGCCGAGAAAAACCUCUAAACUUAAUCUAUAGAUAACCCGUACCCAGAUCAGACACUUGUGGGGUGGUAGAGAAUACUAAGAUAAUCGAGAUAACUAAUGGGUAAGGAACUUGGCAAAUUAGCGGACGUACUUUCGAAAUAAGUCCUGUCUCCAGUGAUGGAGAUCGCAGCGAAAGAGAUGGGGGGAACUGUUUAUCAAAAACACAGCUCGCUGCUAACUCGUAAGAGGAUGUAUAGCGGGUGAUGCCUGUCCAAUGCCAGAAUGUUAUGCUCUCUUGUGCAAGCUCGAGGGUUAAGCACUGGUGAAUGACGGCCGUAACUAUGACGGUCCUAAGGUAGCGAAAUUCCUUGUCAGGUAAGUUCUGACGCGCAUGAAUGGCAUAAUCAUCCCCAUGCUGUCUUACCCUUAGACUCGGUGAAAUUACAAUCCCGGUAAAAAUGCCGGGUAGUCACAGUUAGACGGAAAGACCCUGUGAAGCUUUACUGUAGAUUGAUAUUGGACUGUAGCAUGUUUUGCUCAGUAUAGGUGGGAGGCUUUGAUGUUUCGACUUCGGUUGGGGCGGAGCCAAAAGUGAGAUACCACCCAAAAUAUGUAGCAAUUCUAAUCCCUAGGUUGGGAGACA
rnacentral:rRNA from 1 species